rnacentral:rRNA from 1 species
ACUCCUACGGGAGGCAGCAGUAGGAAUCUUGCGCAAUGGGCGAAAGCCUGACGCAGCAACGCCGCGUGGGGAUGAAGGCUCUAGGGUUGUAAACCCUUUCAGCAGGGAGCGAAAAUGAACGGUACCUGCAGAAGAAGCCCCGGCCAACUACGUGCCAGCAGCCGCGGUAACACGUAGGGGCGAGCGUUGUCCGGAAUUAUUGGGCGUAAAGAGCUCGUAGGCGGUUUGGUAAGUCAGAUGUGAAAACUCAGGGCUCAACCCUGAGAGGCCAUCUGAUACUGCCAUGACUAGAGUCCGGUAGAGGAGUGUGGAAUUUCUGGUGUAGCGGUGAAAUGCGCAGAUAUCAGAAGGAACACCAACGGCGAAGGCAGCACUCUGGGCCGGUACUGACGCUGAGGAGCGAAAGCGUGGGGAGCAAACAGGAUUAGAUACCCUGGUAGGCUCUGC